GCACUGCUGAAGAGUCUUAAAAUUGGACGAAACGGCCGUCCAGUGU
rnacentral:hammerhead_ribozyme from 1 species